CCUACGGGAGGCAGCAGUGGGGAAUUUUGGACAAUGGGCGCAAGCCUGAUCCAGCCAUGCCGCGUGCGGGAAGAAGGCCUUCGGGUUGUAAACCGCUUUUGUCAGGGAAGAAAUCCUUUGGGCUAAUACCUCGGAGGGAUGACGGUACCUGAAGAAUAAGCACCGGCUAACUACGUGCCAGCAGCCGCGGUAAUACGUAGGGUGCGAGCGUUAAUCGGAAUUACUGGGCGUAAAGCGUGCGCAGGCGGUUAUGCAAGACAGAUGUGAAAUCCCCGGGCUUAACCUGGGAACUGCAUUUGUGACUGCAUAGCUCGAGUACGGCAGAGGGGGAUGGAAUUCCGCGUGUAGCAGUGAAAUGCGUAGAUAUGCGGAGGAACACCGAUGGCGAAGGCAAUCCCCUGGGCCUGUACUGACGCUCAUGCACGAAAGCGUGGGGAGCAAACAGGAUUAGAUACCCUGGUAGUCCACGCCCUAAACGAUGUCAACUGGUUGUUGGACGGCUUGCUGUUCAGUAACGAAGCUAACGCGUGAAGUUGACCGCCUGGGGNGGACGGCCGCGAGUAGUAACGUAAGUAGUAGUAGCGNGAGAGAGACGACGACGACGACGACGGAGGGAGGAG
rnacentral:rRNA from 1 species